UCCGGGGUCGUCUAAUGGCAGGACAUGGGAUUUUGGUUCCCAGAAUGGAGGUUCGAUCCCUCCCCCCGGAA
rnacentral:tRNA from 1 species